GAGGGUAUAGCUCAGUGGUAGACAGCAUGCCUAGCAUGCAGGGGGUCCUGGGUUCAAUCCCCAGUACUCACU
rnacentral:tRNA from 1 species